CUAACACAAGGGAUGGACAGAAGGGAUGUUGGAAGGUGGACUCUGCUCUUACAUCUAGAAGCACCAUAGUGAUUUCUCUUAGACUUGUGCGCACAUGAGGUGCUGGGAUCCAACUGAAGGCUUUACAAAUGCUAGGUUACCUAAGGUGCAGUCAUAAUUGGAAAGGCUCACCAUGGUGAAUAUCGACUCAGAGAACAAGCCUACCGCUCAGGGUGAUCUCAACCCUUCAUCUAUCCACCUUGUGGUCUCUCAGGAGGAAGCCAGGGUUUGGGCCCCUGACAAUCCCAGAGCUACGGAUCAUCAAGUCCAUCCACACGUUGGUGAAGAGCAAGCACCUAACCCAGAGCAGGAUGACCUGGGCUAACUUGUCCCCUCUUGCAGAUCCCUCGGGACAUGUGUCAGCUAUCUCUCUGUGGUGCUGAUGGCCAGCAAAGCCUCUGGGGUGUUUCUAAUUUGUGCACAGAAUGAAUCUUAUAAUUGGUUUGUUCCUUCCUUGUUCCUUGUGCUCUGAAGUUCAAGGCCAAAUCCCAGGCUUGGCAUUAGCAAUUAUAUAGCACUUUACAAGC